AUGCAUGGACUGGCUUGGAGUGAGGCUCCUUUACUCUGCAAAAGGAAAUCUACAAAAGUGGGUGAUUGUCUCUGGAGUUGUCUUGGCCUUUUGGAUCUUCUGUUCAUCUAGGAGCAUCUGUCCCCACAACCUGAAACUAAUAAAUAUUAGAUGCAUUAUAAAUACUAUAUGUAAAACUUAUUAAAUAAAACAAUUUUAAUGAAA
rnacentral:lncRNA from 1 species